rnacentral:tRNA from 1 species
GUGUCUGUAGCUCAGUUGAAUAGAGCAUAACCCUCCGAAGGUUAAGGCCGUGGGUUUGAGUCCCAUCAGACACACCA